rnacentral:rRNA from 1 species
UACGGGGGGGGCAAGCGUUGUCCGGAUUCAUUGGGCGUAAAGAGCUCGUAGGCGGUUCGAUAAGUCGGGUGUGAAACCUCCAGGCUCAACCUGGAGACGCCACCCGAUACUGUCGUGACUAGAGUCCAGUAGGGGAGCGUGGAAUUCCUGGUGUAGCGGUGAAAUGCGCAGAUAUCAGGAGGAACACCAGCGGCGAAGGCGGCGCUCUGGGCUGGAACUGACGCUGAGGAGCGAAAGCGUGGGGAGCGAACAGG